rnacentral:rRNA from 1 species
UUUUUAUGGAGAGUUUGAUCCUGGCUCAGAGUGAACGCUGGCGGCGUGCCUAAUACAUGCAAGUCGAACGAUGAAGCUUCUAGCUUGCUAGAAGUGGAUUAGUGGCGCACGGGUGAGUAAGGUAUAGUUAAUCUGCCCUACACAAGAGGACAACAGUUGGAAACGACUGCUAAUACUCUAUACUCCUACUUAACACAAGUUGAGUAGGGAAAGUUUUUCGG